CCUCUUCCCUCUCGCCUCCUUUACCACCGCAGCCCUUCCUCGGCCGUCCAAGCGACGGCGUUCUUCCCUCUUCUAAAAUAAUUACACAGAAUCAAUGGAAUUAUCAGUGAGAGAGUUUUGUCACUGUUGUGCAGCAAGCAAACAAACUACAACUGUAACCGUCUUCCAGUCCAAUCCUCUCAGAUCUGAAUCAAACCCUAACUCUUCUCC
rnacentral:lncRNA from 1 species